rnacentral:rRNA from 1 species
UACGUAGGGUGCGAGCGUUGUCCGGAAUUAUUGGGCGUAAAGAGCUUGUAGGCGGUUUGUCGCGUCUGCUGUGAAAUUUCGGGGCUCAACCCCGAACUUGCAGUGGGUACGGGCGGACUGGAGUUCGGCAGGGGAGACUGGAAUUCCUGGUGUAGCGGUGAAAUGCGCAGAUAUCAGGAGGAACACCGGUGGCGAAGGCGGGUCUCUGGGCCGAUACUGACGCUGAGGAGCGAAAGCGUGGGGAGCGAACAGG